UUCAGUACCACUUGCGUAGGCCUUCGUGUAACGAGAAUUAUGUCAUCGUGACACGAUGCUGCGCAAGUAGUACUGCU
rnacentral:pre_miRNA from 1 species